UACGUAGGGUGCAGGCGUUAAUCGGAAUUACUGGGCGUAAAGCGUGCGCAGGCGGUUUCUUAAGUCAGAUGUGAAAGCCCCGGGCUUAACCUGGGACUGCGUUUGAAACUGGGAGACUUGAGUGUGGCAGAGGGGGGGUGGAAUUCCACGUGGUAGCAGUGAAAUGCGUAGAUAAUGUGGAGGAACACCGAUGGCGGAAAGACAGCUCUCUGGGGACGGUACUGACGCUGGAGACGGCGAAAGCUGGGGAGCGAACAGGUUGAAGAAACC
rnacentral:rRNA from 1 species